UUUAUGGAAGUAUUUACUAUACUUUAAUAAAAAAUUUUUUAAAAUAAUUGGUUUAAUAAAUAAAUAUAAUUAAAAAAUUGAGUUAAAAAUUAAACAUAUUUUUUUAAAAAAAGACUUGUAUCUUUGUAUAAUAUAUUAAAUUUUGUGGUAGUGUAAGAAACCUAAAAUACGGGGCAGUAAAAUAUUCAAAUCAGGGAAUUUUGAAAAAUAAUUUGAUAAUCCUCAAUUUCAUUUACUUUAAAUAAUUUUGUGUGUGGUUGUUAAAAGAUAAUUUUAGCGUUAAAUUUUAGAUCAGAUUUCGCGUAGUUUAUAUUAAAGGACUUUUUGAAAUGUGAUAUAAAAUUAAUUUUUUUUUUAACAUAAUAUAAUACUUGAAAGUAAACUAAAAAGCUAUGAAUCUGUUUUAUUUU
rnacentral:rRNA from 1 species